rnacentral:rRNA from 1 species
UGAUGGCGAGCCUGAUCCAGCAUGCCGCGUGAGUGAUGAAGGCCUUAGGGUUGUAAAGCUCUUUUACCCGGGAUGAUAAUGACAGUACCGGGAGAAUAAGCUCCGGCUAACUCCGUGCCAGCAGCCGCGGUAAUACGGAGGGAGCUAGCGUUAUUCGGAAUUACUGGGCGUAAAGCGCACGUAGGCGGCUUUGUAAGUUAGAGGUGAAAGCCUGGAGCUCAACUCCAGAAUUGCCUUUAAGACUGCAUCGCUUGAAUCCAGGAGAGGUGAGUGGAAUUCCGAGUGUAGAGGUGAAAUUCGUAUAUAUUCGGAAGAACACCAGUGGCGAAGGCGGCUCACUGGACUGGUAUUGACGCUGAGGUGCGAAAGCGUGGGGAGCAAACAGGAUUAAAUACCCUGGUAGUCCACGCCGUAAACGAUGAUAACUAGCUGUCGGGGCUCUUAGAGCUUCGGUGGCGCAGCUAACGCAUUAAGUUAUCCGCCUGGGGAGUACGGCCGCAAGGUUAAAACUCAAUGAAAUUUGACGGAUGAACUCCAGCUAACGUU